rnacentral:sRNA from 1 species
CUGCUGGCGCUGACUGCGCUCCAGUGCCCAGUGACAGAGAGUCGAGGGAUUGUGGAUAGCCUGCAGAAGUUUUCCUCGCUCCCUGCUUACCUCCCCACGAACUUGCACAUCUCCAAUGCAGAGGAGUCCUUUUUCCUUAAAGAAGCCAACCAAGACCUCACAAGGAACUCCAGUCUGCAGGCCCGGGUGGAGCCAUUCUUCAUCUACCGAGCCAGGACACCCCCUAUUAUCAACGCCAGCUAUGGCCCAUUUUCAGUGGAGAAGAUAAUCCCCCGGGAGCUUCUGUUGACAUCUACAGCCUUUGGAAACUUGGACAAAUUUCCCUUCAACUGGAAAUUGAAAUCCCACAUCCUUGACAGCUCCAUCUACUCCAACAGACCCAAAGUGCAGACCUUGUUUUAUGUCACUGGCAUGGGCUGGGAUGACAGCGACCUUACGGAAGAUCUACCCUGUGUCAAGAUGUUUGCUUUCCCUGAGGCCAGGGAAGUGGCAGCCAGCUGUCGGCUGCAAGGGGCCCCAGGGCUGUGUGUGGCUGAGCUGGAGCUGCUGCCCGAGUGG